GAAAAGGUGCAAGGGCAUACGCAUAUCAGUGAGGAUUCGUCCGAGAUUGUGUUAUUGCUAGUUGAAAACUAUACGUAAGUUCAUCUCCUGAGAUACCCUCCUCCACAUUGUCACUGACUCGAAUCUAGUUUUGACUGCUUCAAUUGGUCUUCGGAUCGGUUGGGAAUAUUUGGAACACUUGUCUUUCUCUCUUAGAGCAAAGG
rnacentral:snRNA from 1 species